rnacentral:rRNA from 1 species
GACGAACGCUGGCGGCGUGCUUAACACAUGCAAGUCGAACGGAAAGGCCUGUCCUUCCUUGUGUUGGACGGGUACUCGAGUGGCGAACGGGUGAGUAACACGUGAGUGAUCUGCCCCCAACUUGGGUAUAAGCCUGGGAAACUGGGUCUAAUUCCCGAUAGGACUGCAGGGUGGUGCCUGUGGUGGAAAACGAUUUUCUAGUGGUUGGGGAUGAGCUCGCGGGCUAUCAGCUUGUUGGUGGGGUAAUGGCCUACCAAGGCGGCGACGGGUAGCCGGCCUGGGAGGGUGGACGGCCACAUUGGGACUGAGAUACGGCCCAGACGCCGACGGGAGGCAGCAGUGGGGGAUAUUGCACGAUGGGCGGAAGCCUGAUGCAGCGACGCCGCGUGGGGGAUGACGGCCUUCGGGUUGUAAACUCCUUUCGACCGCGAGGAAGCCGCCUGGUUGGAAGGGUGGUGACGGUAGUGGUAGAAGAAGCACUGGCUAACUACGUG